GUGGGGAAUUUUGGACAAUGGGCGCAAGCCUGAUCCAGCAAUGCCGCGUGCAGGAAGAAGGCCUUCGGGUUGUAAACUGCUUUUGUACGGAACGAAACGGUCCUGGCUAAUAUCCGGGGCUAAUGACGGUACCGUAAGAAUAAGCACCGGCUAACUACGUGCCAGCAGCCGCGGUAAUACGUAGGGUGCGAGCGUUAAUCGGAAUUACUGGGCGUAAAGCGUGCGCAGGCGGUGCUGUAAGACAGGCGUGAAAUACCCGGGCUCAACCUGGGAAGUGCGGUUGUGACUGCAGUGCUGGAGUGCGGCAGAGGGGGAUGGAAUACCGCGUGUAGCAGUGAAAUGCGUAGAUAUGCGGAGGAACACCGAUGGCGAAGGCAAUCCCCUGGGCCUGCACUGACGCUCAUGCACGAAAGCGUGGGGAGCAAACAGGAUUAGAAACCCUAGUAGUCC
rnacentral:rRNA from 1 species